rnacentral:misc_RNA from 1 species
GGAAGAGGCAUAAAAUAGUUGGUAAAAAUAGAUGGACCCCACAUCACAGCAUCAAGUGUCAGCCUAAAAGACUUGUUAUUGAGUUAAGAUGUCCCAAUUAAGAUUGAAAUUUUACAGCUAACUAAGACUAAGACCAAGACCAAUUUCCAAAAUUUGGUCCGCUGUGAGCAUCUCCUCCUCCUUCUCGGUGGAUUGUACCUUUCCUCUCUUUCACUUCUCCUUUCUCUCCUCCCCUUUACAUUUCCUUCGUCUCAGACACUGCCUUCGCAAUUCACUCUGUUCUUUCCUUUUCUUUCAUUACAAUUCUUGCCCAUCAUGUCCGAUAGAGUCUUCCCUUCCGCUAAACCAGCCGCCAACGGCACCGCCACCAAUCCUAAUGCCAACGCAACCGCCAACCCAACUGCUCCUUCUAACAAAUCUCAUCUCAUCAACCCCACUGCCAGGCCCCCUUACCGCCCACAGCCUCACAGCCGCCGCUACCGUUCCCGUAGUGGCCGGAGCAUUUGCUGUUGCUGUUUCUUCUGGAGCUUCAUUAUCCUCUUAUUACUCAUCCUCCUCGCCGCAAUUGCUGGAGCUGCUCUUUACAUCAUCUACCGUCCCCACAGACCCACUUUCUCCAUUCCUUCCCUCCGUAUCCACCGCCUGAAUCUCACCACCUCCGCUGACUCCUCCUCGUCCCACCUCUCUACCCUCCUCAAUCUCACUAUCAUUUCGAAGAACCCCAAUUCCCAUCUCACCUUAUUCUACGACUCUCUCACUAUAUCUUCAUUCUCGAACGAUGUGUUUCUCGGGAAUGGGACGUUACCUGCUUAUAGCUUGAGCAAGAAGAACGAGACU